UUCCUGCAUAAGAGGAGCCAUAUUGAAAAAGAAAUGCUAAGAAAAUAACCACAGAGGAAAGCAAGAAAUGUUUCUGAAAACUUCCAGUUGGAUAAUUUUGGCCACAAGCAACACGACAAUAUCUUGCUAUGAUUGUAUGAUAACCCGUUACACAGAGAUUCUGACAUCUCCAUUUAGUCUCUACUUAAACAAACAAAAGAAAUCCAAACUUUUGGCGAUGGGUUAACCUGAUAACCAAUGAGAAAACAAAGUUUGGCUACUGUGAUUUUGGACUCUCAAGAGAAUCCCAGUGCUCAAAUAUGAAUAUGAAACCUAUUGCUAUUCAAAACAAGGAAAAUAAACAAGAGAAAGGGCCAAAAUGAAGGGGAAAAAACAGAAUUAAGAAAUGGUAACAGUGUGGUUUGACGGCCACAAUUUAAUAUAGAUUCAUUUCAGUGAAGAAAAAGCCUACUCCCUUUCAGCUUCUGAAAUACAAGUUCUCCUCAAUAGCAAUAGCUAUCCAAGUCUAAAUCAAAACAGCAUCUCAGAUAUCUCUUUGAUUGAUUCCAAAAUUAUACUGAAAGAAUCCUGAAUUGCGUGCACUUGUGUAGCCACAUAGAUUCUAGGAUUCCCACAAUCCGAACUCAAUCAAUCCAAUGGGCAGAAAUCAACUUAAAAUGUAUGAGACAAAAGAUGACAAUUUUGUGACUAUGUAUUCUGCACUUGAACAGAGCCUAACAGCAACAUUCACCUUUCUGAAGCCUAUAGUUCAUCAAAAAUUUGGAGGCAAAAUCAUAAAGAUAUGAAAGGCUGGCUCAUAAAUUACAACCGAAAGGAUUUGUCAAAAAAAUAUUUCAUAAUUGAAUGACACAAUUUUAAAAAGAUACAAUGUCAUUCGGGAGUCAAAAUAAAGAAUUUUCAUAAGAAUAGAAUGUAAAUUAAGGCACAAUACAAGGUCUACAGACACAAUACAAGGUCUUCAUCAUGAGCUGUUGUGGAGAAAACAUAAUCUCUACAGUGUUUAGGAAAAAGGAAGAAAGAGAUAUAUGGUCUCAUUUCUGACCAAUAAGAGCAAUAAAAGCACGAGAGCCAACAUUAAAAACAUUAUAAACACAGAAUCAUUAUGAACAAGUCCCAAAUGGAAAGGCAAAUACAAAAAUAAAAGUCGGAAGGACUGCAAUAUGGUCUCACAUCAACAAACAUUUCUAACAAAUCUGAUUGAGUGUCUACUAAAAGAGAUAAAAGAUGAUUGCACCUUAUAACAAAUAUUUAACUCAGGAUAUACAUAUACAAGAUGUCAAAAAAAGGCAUCCAAAAAUAAAAAUAAAAAUAAAAGAAAAUGAAAAAGCAUGUUGGUUGCAUACUUAAACACAUCAGUUGGCAAAAGAAGAACAAGUUUGUUAGAAAAAUCUAUCCGAUACAAAGAAAUACUUUGAGAACAAUGUGCAUACC
rnacentral:lncRNA from 1 species